CCGAGUUAUCAACUCCCAAACCCCUGUGAACAUACCCCAACGUUGCUUCGGCGGGACCGCCCCGGCGCCCUCACCGGCCCGGAACCAGGCGCCCGCCGGAGGACCCCAAACUCUUGUUUAAUUUAGUGGCAUAUUCUGAGUCUCACAAACAAAAAUGAAUCA
rnacentral:misc_RNA from 1 species